UAAACUUCUUUUGCAGAUCCAUUGUGGCAUCUUGAUUCCUAGACCAUCCUCCAAUCUCGGCCACAUUAGCUCCUAUUGGAGUCUUGACAUAAUAGUUUGGUGCUAGAAGGACCCAGCAACCCGACAAAAGAGAGAGAGUAUGGAGAGACACGAUUAUUCCACUGCUUUUCGUUGACAGACUACCCGAUAAAGCCAAAGUGGAGUCACCCAGCCGUCCGCUGUGAAUGGGCCUAUGCAGCCAGUGCCUGCUCCAAUGACGGUUGACCUGUAGCACUUCAACUAUCUGAUCCACUAGGUCCAGGCAUUAACUGACGUCGUUCAGCACUUGCAACAGACUAUGGAGUAGCGACAGUCUCCUCAGCUUGCUCUGCAGACAAUGCUAUCUCGGCAUAGCCACCAGAACCGAUCUCUGAUCUUGGAGAGUCCCUCUCAUAGAACCUACUGAUUCGCCAUGGUCGAUUGGCAAUCACCGUCUCACCAUGGCUUUGGUCAUGGCAAAAGAUGUCAGCGUUUCUUUACCUCCUUCAGUAAUGAUUCUACUUCGGGUUACUUCCCAUGCUCCGAAAGGUCUCAUCAAGAGGAUGACCUUGAGCGAAAGGUUCGGGAGAUCGAGCGCUGUCUAACCAAAGUCUAAAUGGAUGGCAGAGGGGAC
rnacentral:lncRNA from 1 species